rnacentral:lncRNA from 1 species
AUGGCUCUCAAGCACUUGAAAUGUGGUGAAUGGGACCGAAGAACUGAAUUUUUAUUUUAGCUAUUUUUUAUUCAUUUCUAUGUAAAUAGUCACAUGUGGCCAGGGCUGCCAUUUUAUUGGACAGUGCAGCUCUAAAGCAGUGGCUAUAAAUGUGAGACCUCCCAACAAUAGAUUAGCAUCAUCUGAAAUCUGGUCAGAAAUUCAAAUUCUUGGGUGCAAAUCAAAAACCCUUACUGAAUCAAACACCCUGGGGGUGGGAGUCCAGCAAUCAGCAUUAGAGAAGCCCUCCAGAUGAUUCUGAUGCUAAAGUUUGAGAGCCACUGUUUGCAGGAAAGAGUAGAGUGGCAAGCAAGGGGGAAGGGCAGAGAGACUGAAUGGGGAUAUAGUGGAGAGGGUCAAGGUAAGGAGUAAGGAGAAUCCAGUGAGAAGGCUGUAGGAGACCAAUCCAAUAAAAAAAAAUCUCUUUUCCAUCAAUUCUGGGAACUGUUGCUUAGACUGGAGCCCUUCUGCAAAAGCUGAUGGUCACUUUACUUGCUUGGAGAUCCCUUGUGGAAUUAGCCUAGUGGCAUAAAAGAACUUUACAAACCUUCCAAGGAAGGCGAGAGCAAAACGGCCUCACAAGAGGGAGUGACUCAGCUUUGACUUUUGGGCUUAGCAGGUUUCUCUGACUUUUGAACAUAGGCUGAGUGAUGUGGCACAUCACUAUAACUGGGGUUUACUCCCCUUGUUCCAUCCUGCAAUCACCAGAUCCCCUGAGCCCUGCAUUCAAAGCUGGUAGUGACAUUAGCUUAAAAACUGAAAACGAUGUUUUAAAC